rnacentral:rRNA from 1 species
UGUGAAAGCUUGCUUUCAAAAUAACUUAGCGGCGGACGGGUGAGUAACACGUAGGCAACCUGCCCCUUAGACUGGGAUAACUACCGGAAACGGUAGCUAAUACCGGAUAAUUUCUUUUUUCUCCUGAAGNAAGAAUGAAAGACGGAGCAAUCUGUCACUGAGGGAUGGGCCUGCGGCGCAUUAGCUAGUUGGUGGGGUAACGGCCCACCAAGGCGACGAUGCGUAGCCGACCUGAGAGGGUGAACGGCCACACUGGGACUGAGACACGGCCCAGACUCCUACGGGAGGCAGCAGUAGGGAAUCUUCCGCAAUGGACGAAAGUCUGACGGAGCAACGCCGCGUGAGUGAUGAAGGUUUUCGGAUCGUAAAGCUCUGUUGCCAGGGAAGAACGUCCGGUAGAGUAACUGCUANCGGAGUGACGGUACCUGAGAAGAAAGCCCCGGCUAACUACGUGCCAGCAGCCGCGGUAAUACGUAGGGGGCAAGCGUUGUCCGGAAUUAUUGGGCGUAAAGCGCGCGCAGGCGGUCAUUUAAGUCUGGUGUUUAAACCUUGGGCUCAACCUGAGGUCGCACUGGAAACUGGGUGACUUGAGUACAGAAGAGGAAAGUGGAAUUCCACGUGUAGCGGUGAAAUGCGUAGAUAUGUGGAGGAACACCAGUGGCGAA